rnacentral:rRNA from 1 species
GACGAACGCUGGCGGCGUGCUUAACACAUGCAAGUCGAGCGGUGAAGCGCCUUCCUUUUUGGUGGGUGUGGAUGAGUGGCGAACGGGUGAGUAACACGUGAGUAACCUGCCCCCUUCUUCUGGAUAACCGCAUGAAAGUGUGGCUAAUACGGGAUAUUCUGGGUCUGUCGCAUGAUGGGUCUGGGAAAGAUAUUGUUUCGGUGGGGGAUGGGCUCGCGGCCUAUCAGCUUGUUGGUGGGGUGAUGGCCUACCAAGGCGGUGACGGGUAGCCGGCCUGAGAGGGUGGACGGUCACACUGGGACUGAGACACGGCCCAGACUCCUACGGGAGGCAGCAGUGGGGAAUAUUGCACAAUGGGCGCAAGCCUGAUGCAGCGACGCCGCGUGAGGGAUGGAGGCCUUCGGGUUGUGAACCUCUUUCGCCAGUGAAGCAGGCCUGCCUCGUUUGUGGGUGGGUUGACGGUAGCUGGAUAAGAAGCGCCGGCUAACUACGUG